GUCGCCGUCGGGACCUGCAAAGGAAGUCUAAACCGGAGGUGGGGUUGCUCCGGCAAGACCCUCCGACGCUCAAGUCAGUUCUCUACCUCAAUAAGAAUGGAGUGCUCGAACGAAGAAUUUAGCAGAGUUUUUAGAUGAAAGACGAGAGCUUAUUGAAUAACGUAUCUGGGGCCCCCUUUUAUAGGCGGAGGGGGCAACAAAUUGAUGGCGACGCCUGUAACCGUCUGGUAGUGGGCCGCCCAGAGUCAGGAGGAAUUUAUUGUGGAGGGUAGUAGAGUGGGAUCAUGGCUAUGGCCGUGGCUUGCCACGUGGAGUCAGUUA
rnacentral:lncRNA from 1 species